rnacentral:rRNA from 1 species
AGAGCCCAAACCAAGAAGCUUGCUUCUUGGGGUUGUAGGACACUCUAUACGGAGUUACAAAAGAAAGUUAUAAAUGAAGCGGUCUGGAAAGGCCCGCCAAAGACGGUAACAGCCCGGUAGUUGAAAUAGCUUUCCCUCCAGAGUGGAUCCUGAGUACGGCGGAACACGUGAAAUUCCGUCGGAAUCCGGGAGGACCAUCUCCCAAGGCUAAAUACUCCCUAGUGACCGAUAGUGAACCAGUACCGUGAGGGAAAG